rnacentral:lncRNA from 1 species
CACCUGCCUCUACCCUCAGGCUCCCACUCCCUAGUCUGCCUCCCUCCACCCUUAGGCCCCGGGAUGGGUGCUGGGAGGAAGUGCCUGAAAGGUCAGCCAGGACUCGGACCCUUGAGCUCAGAGAGACUGAUGAGAGCAGGAAAGGAACUGAAAAGCCUUGGGAGAUACAGGACUGGAGAGCGGAGGGGUGAGGUCAAGGCAGGCCCCCUGGGAGGGGUCCCCAGGGAGGCAGGUGGCACAGGGGCUGAAAUAGGAGGGUGGGUGCAGAGGCCCUGAGGUCUGACAGGAGCACUGAGGAGAGGGCAGGAGUCGUGCUGCUCUGCCUGGUGAAAUAAGCCAAGAGCAGGUUGCUUUCCUUCUGCUCUCUGCUGCCCAUCCCUGGUUUGGGCUCUGCCUGGGGGGUCCCCCAUCUAGCAGAAUCUCACUCCCAGAGCCACUGAUGUGCGAUGUGAACCGCCUGCCUGAGGCUGCCAGCCAUGCUGGAGAGCGGGUCUGCUCUUGUGCAGGGUGCCUGGGCUCCGGCACAUCUUCAUCUUUCCCUGCCCCAGAGCCUAGACCUCCCACUGUAGUCACAAGCCUCAGGGCAGGUCCCUCUCUGGUCCCUGCCUGGGGUCAUGCAGCCUGGUCCCUGUUAGGCCAGAGAGGGAGGGACUCUAGGGCUGCCUAUGUAAAGCAGGAAGGGCAAUCAGGGAAGGCUUCCUGCAAGGGGUGACAUGGCAGCUUGGGGCGAGAUUUAGGCUUAGGGGACAUAAGUUCCUGAGUGGAGCAGAGGCAAAUCCAAGAAUAAAGAAGAUGGCUCGUCACAGAAGCCUCUGCCUCUGGUCUGGAGCCUGCUCCUUUGCUGCCCUCACUGCUCUCCCCUGGUAGCUGGCGCUGAGGAAUGCCCUACGGUACUUCCCCCCGCAUGUCCAGGAGCUACUGGCCCUCGAGUUCGUCUAGCAGCUGCAGCUAGCUGUACAGGUACAUCUACAUGUAUCGGUUCUGCCCUGACUUGGAAAUGAAGUGAGUGUGGGGUUGGGGGGGCAAGCUUCAGAGGCCAGAGUGGGGGGAUUGGGGGUGCUUCCCAGAGGUACCCUGCCCAGGUCGGGACGCAGCCAGAGGGGAGUGCAGGCCGUCCACUUUAGGAGGGCUGUGGCCACAUCCCCCGAGGGCCAGGCUUGGGGCUGCAGCUAGCCCUAGGCAGAAGGACCUGCCUUCCUCACAGUCCCCAGGGGAUGCUGCCUAGCCCUGUAUCACAUUCUGAGCACCAUUGUCCUUGAAAACACCAGAAGGCCAGACUGUCUGGAACAACCCCACAAAGCAGGCACCGUGUCCCCUCGCUCCUGUCCAGGCCUGCUGGCCUGGCACCCUCUCCAGAAUUGCUCAGGAGCCCUGGUGGUGCAAAGGAAAGGACAGGUAAAUAAAGUCUGUCAGGAGGGGAAGCUUCAGCUUUGCUUUGCCAGCAGCUUUCUCCCUGUUGGAGCCUUCCAGGGACUGGGGGAGGGCAUGGGUAGGAUGGGGCUGAACUGCCCAUCCUAGGAAGGGCCAGCAAAGCACAAGUACUUCAGACCCACCUCCUGGCGGGAGCUCUGAGGUACCUCCUGUGGGGUGCCAGGGCUCACUGUCCAUACCUGAGCAGCCCGGGGCUGGGCCGAGGCCAGGCUGGGCCUGAGUUUUAGCAGGAAGGAGGCCUCUGCCCCCUGUCUUUUGUCAUGCCUGGCAGCUGGACUCCCUCGUAGGGACGUGGAACAGUACCGCUGCUGGACUAAAGCCGCUGCAGCCAUCAUGCACAUGAUCAGGAACAACCUGGACCCUGCCUGCUGUGGCCCAGGUGAUUUCCAACUACCCCAGGAUAGAAUGUGAGAAACUCUUUGCCAUGAGGAUUACCAUGUAAGAAAAUAUUCCCUAUACUAAGAAGACAGCAAUUGAGAUGGGAGCUAUGCAUUUGGGGUUCCCUGAAGAUGUAAACUACUUGGAAGUCAACAGAAUUUUGAAUCACCUGCUGAUCACCACUGCUGCUCUGUUAAAAGUGAAGCUUCAAACCUUAGCAAGGGACUGACUCCAGACAUCUUCCUGCAGGACCAGAUCAAAGGAAGAUGGAGUACUGGGGAGAGCAAAUGGAGGGUGAGGGAGACUGGUGGAUGAAAGUAGAAAACAAAAGUUUCAGGGCUCUUUGAAGAGGCAAUUAAGAAAAGUAAUCUGGACAACAAAGAAGGAAAAUCAGGACAAGAUUUAAUUAUGUCCCCAACUUUGCUAGUUGUGUUAGCCCAUGUGUAUUUUCCUGGAGAAAUGAGCAGUAAAAUCCUUCAGUAAUUACUGAAAUAAAAACAACUGAAUUUAAAAGUUAAGCUAAGAAAUCUUCAUUUAAUACUAAAAACAACACAAAAAGUCUUUGUUCUCAAAGACAACAAAGAGUAUGUGAGCUGAGAGGCUGAUGACCAGCUUGUCAAGAAGAGGUCAGAGACAGGAAAAGUGUUUGAAUGAAGAAAGGGGUAAACAGGAUACUACAGUGGGAGAGAAAAGAGUGUGCAAAUAAUAUAGAUUCAAAUCUAGACUAUGCCACUUCUGUGUUAUGAGAUCUUGGGCAGAAUACCAAAAUUCUUCAAGUCUUGCCUUCAUCACUAGCAAAAAAAAAAAAAAAAAAAAAAAAGAAGAAGAAUUAUUAUAAUGACAACAACAAUAUCAUAAGCUGAAUUAUAUCUCCUGCAAAAGUUCAUAGGUUGAGGUCCUAACCAUCAGCUGCUUAGCGUGUGACUGUAUUUGGAGAUAGUGAAGGUUAAAUGAUGUCGGAGUGGACCCAAAUCCAGUAGGAUUGGCAUCCAUAUAAGAAGACAAAGAACCAUCAUAGAUAAGCCCUCAAGGACAAAAGACCCUGUGAGGACACAGCAAGAAAGCAGCCAUCUGCAACCCAAGGAAAGAGGCCUCAGAAGAAACUAACUCUGAAGACAACUUGAUCUUGGACUUCCAGGCUCCAGAGCUGUGAGGAAAUAAAUUCCUGUUUUUU